UCCCCGUUACCGGGGCAGUCCACGUAGAAAAAUACAACUACGUGCAAGGGUUGCGCUCGUUGAUGGACUUAACCAAACAUCUCACGACACGAGCUGACGACGGCCAUGCAACACCUGUCACCUUGUUCAAUAAAGCACUCUCGCCUUUCGGCAAAAUUCAAGGGAUGUCAAGCCCUGGUAAGGUUCUUCGUUUAUCUUCGAAUUAAAGAACACGAUCCACCGCUUGUGCGGGUCCCCGUCAAUUCCUUUAUGUUUUAGUCUUGCGACCGUACUCCACAGGCGGGAUACUUAACGCGUUAGCUUCGCUACUGAAGGGGUCGAUACCUCCAACAGCUAGUAUCCAUCGUUUACGGCGUGGACUAC
rnacentral:misc_RNA from 1 species